UACGUAGGGGGGCGAGCGUUGUCCGGAAUUACUGGGCGUAAAGCGCACGUAGGCGGCUUGUUAAGUCGGAGGUGAAAUCCUGGAGCUCAACUCCAGAACUGCCUUCGAUACUGGCGAGCUUGAGUUCGGGAGAGGUGAGUGGAACUGCGAGUGUAGAGGUGAAAUUCGUAGAUAUUCGCAGGAACACCAGUGGCGAAGGCGGCUCACUGGCCCGAUACUGACGCUGAGGUGCGAAAGCGUGGGGAGCAAACAGG
rnacentral:rRNA from 1 species